GUGCCAGCCGCCGCGGUAAUACGUAGGUGGCGAGCGUUAUCCGGAUUUAUUGGGCGUAAAGUGAGCGCAGACGGUCUUUCAAGUCAGAUGUUAAAUCUCUCGGCCCAACCGGGAGAUCGCAUUUGAUACUGUUGGACUUGAGGACAACAGGGGGAAGUAGAAUUCCCGGUGUAGUGGUGGAAUGCGUAGAUAUCGGGAGGAAUACCAGUGGCGAAGGCGGCUUCCUGGGUUGUUUCUGACGUUCAUGCUCGAAGGUGUGGGGAGCAAACAGGAUUAGAUACCCCCGUAGUCC
rnacentral:rRNA from 1 species